UACGAAGGGGGCUAGCGUUGUUCGGAUUUACUGGGCGUAAAGCGCACGUAGGCGGCGCCGUAAGUCAGGGGUGAAAUCCCGGAGCUCAACUCCGGAACUGCCCUUGAAACUGCAGUGCUAGAAUCCUGGAGAGGCGAGUGGAAUUCCGAGUGUAGAGGUGAAAUUCGUAGAUAUUCGGAAGAACACCGGUGGCGGAGGCGGUCUGCUGGGGUAAUGCUGACACUGAUGCGCGACAGCGUGGGGAGCAAACAGG
rnacentral:rRNA from 1 species